GGACCACCCAGGCAUGCAGGGGAUGCUGCCUCUCCUCCAUCCAACAACAAGCCUGCGUGUGCCCAGCCCCCUCUGGUACACGCAUUGCUCCCCAUCCUCGGCAUUGAUCAAUUGAAAAUAAGACCUUGGAAGAACCCCUUGCAAAGCUGACAUUGUACGAGCCAAGGCAGUGAGCCUCACAGGGUCAGGGGGAAGACAGGGGAUCCCGAAGAUAACGUCUGCUACGAACUCAAUUGCAUCCGCCCCGGGCCCUAAGUUGAAGCCCUAAUCCCCACGUUGACUGCAUUUGGAGAAGGACCUUCAGCACAUGAUGGAGGUGGCCCCGGAGAGGGUCAGCGAGGGGCCUCCACUGUCUGAGUCCGCUCCUGGCAACGCCUGCUCUCUGCACUCAGAGGCCCGGUCCCGGCAGCUGCCACGUUGCUCAGAAGUUCUGGCAGGGGGAGCCUGAAACCCCUGUCUGCUGGCG
rnacentral:lncRNA from 1 species